UUGGGGUAGGACCCUAGUGGAGGAUCCCACAGACAUUGGCUAGUUAUUUUUUCUUACCUUAGGAGGUCAUCAGGCUUUCUCAUCGUUCUUGACAAAAAAUCGUACAGAAACAAAGCCUGUGGUGAGAAUAAUCAAAACACUGAAGAUUGUGCCUUGUACACAAUAUUACAGGUGCUUGAUAAAUGUUUAUUUGGUUGAACUGAAUUGGAAAGAAGGAUGGCGAAUGAAGGUAGAGAAGAGAGAUGGAGGAAGCUGAAAUGGAAAAAAGGGAAUGAGAGAUAAGGAGAGACAAAUAUUGCCUGGGAGGGGGCAUCAUACACCUAAUUCUGCACAAGAGAUGAGGUGCCUGGAUCCCACCAUCAGCACGUGCAGAAGAUUUGCAGCAGAAUCUAAAGUCCAGAGAACAUAUAAAACAAUAAAGGGGAACAAGGCCUUGCCCUAAAGGCAAUCCUCCAGAGGGCAACGAAGGGCUGUUCCUUCCAGUCCAAG